GCCUGGUUGGCUCAGUCAGGGAAGCAUGUGACUCUGGAUCUCAGGGUCAUGAGUUCAAGCCCCACAUUGGGCA
rnacentral:tRNA from 1 species